CAGACAGACAGACAGACCGACCGACAGACAGACAGACAGACAGACAGACAGACAGACAGACAGAUUAUUUCAUUGUUACAGAUCCUCUACUUGUACACAUCCUAAACUUCUAUAAUGAACCAGUCCUUCGCAGCGAAAUAUUUUAAAACAUUAGUGGACUUUUACAGACAGACAGACAGAUAGACAGACAGAUAGACAGACAAACAGACUGACACACAGAGCGACAGACAGUCGUGCAGACCGACAGACAGACUGAGACAGGCAGACUACAGAGAACGGACAGACAGCUAGAUGCCCGGAUGUGCACAUGUGCAUGGCGUCUCUAGAAACUUUCUCUGUGCGAAAUUAUUUUUUGAUUAGUUGUAGGAGAUCAUAUACCUGUGUGCUUGGAGUUUCCAAUUCCUCUUUACUACAUGUCUGGAACUGUUGAGCGUGUUCUUGCUAAUGGUUGAUGUCAUUGCCGUAACUGACUUUCAAAACUUGCCUAGUGUAUACGCAAGUGUCCUGAUCCGAUCGUCGACUGAUGUUUGAUGGCGCCAUCUUCACGUGACCAGACUUCUCAACUUUCUCCCCGAUUCCUACUGUCAGUGUCAGCGCCUCAAGUCUUGAUUAGGGCGCUUCAUCUUCGGAAGUCUUGGAUAUGAAAGACAACUCAGGAUGUUUUGUACCGGUGUUGGUGCAGUAUUCUCUUCUGCAUUUUUACCAGUCGGCCUUGAAUGGUUUUUUGCAUGAUCAUGACCUCUCAAUGUUGAUAAAAAUAAACUAGACGGAGUUAAUCAUUUCUUCCAAUUAAGUCUCUCUCAACAUCUGUUGAUCAAUUGCAAUUAAAACAGUCAUAGAAGAGCAGCUGAAUAGCAGAUGAAAGGUGGUGAGUUAUCAAGACCUGCCAUACUGCUUGUCAGUCCUAGAUUUGUGCAUGUUUCUGCAGAAAAGAAUUCAAAGUUCUGACUAUGGUCUACUGAUUCUUUUCCUCUUUCAAAAGAGUCAUUUACGUACACUUGGAGAUUUCUCAUGUGGAUCGGGUAUUUUGGUCUGGAGAUAUGAGCAUCUAAGGCGAUAACAGGGAUUCUCAGUUAGAGAGCCUGGGCACUGCAGCGUGUCUUGAGAGCAUUGCAUGCAAUCUCAUUGAAGUUUGCACUGCACUGAUUUGGAAGAUUUUGGCAUAGCAACUCAUUUGAGGUUGGCCUGUGACAUGUCAUUGCAUUUGGUAAGUACCUGUGUGAGUGUGGAAGGCAAUUGACAAACAAGGGUUUCAUCUUCUGUUCUGCUCUUAUGAGUCCAUUCAUUGUAAUUGCCACUAUUUCCUGUGACUCAUGAUAGAGAGCUCAGAUCUUUCUAAUGGAUUACUUUUAUAAUUUGUACAGUUUGUAUUACUUAAAGAUUGUUAUAUACUAUUGUUGUCUUUAAAUUUGGUUUGUACCUGUGUUAUAUCUAGGGCUUUCUAUCUAUACACUUCACCAUAUUGGUAA